UGGCUGGAGAGAGUCAGCAGUGAACAUGCUGUGAUGCUUUCCCAGGCCCCAGGUCGCAGCCUCAGGACCCUGGACAGGGAAAGCACUUGGGAAUGAGUGAGAGGAUGGAUGACUAAGGCCAGACACUGCAGGCCACUCACCAGGAACCACCCAGUCAUGGGCAGCACAGGGCAGGGCUCACCACACCCAGAGACCUCGGGGCCUGAGAUGAGAGGGAGCCCAGGGCAGGCCUCCCUCGGCCUGGCCACCAGGCGCUCUGAGACACCGAGUCCAGGACAAGAACAUUUAGGCCUGCCCACCACUCCUGAUGUCCUCUGUCCUUGACUCCUUGCUGGAGCUGAUCUCCCAAGUGCAUCACACCACCAAACUUCUCCUGGCCCAGCUAGAGCAUGCCAAGCCCACUGAGGCAGAGCCCAAGGAUGAGGAAGACUGUGGUGAGCAGCUCCACUCAAAGCUGAAGUCCCAGCUGCAGAGCCUGUGCCAGCUCCACCUGCAGCUUGCUCCUCAGCUCUGCCACCACAGGGAAAGCCGGUGCCAGGAACCCCUUUUCCACCAGCUGCACAGCUGGGUCACCUGGUGGCUCCUCAGCAGGUGUCAGCUCCUGAGCCCCCCCUGGGGCCAGCUCCUGCCCCACCCCUGCCAUUCCCCUCUAU
rnacentral:lncRNA from 1 species